AGAACGCGUCCUGUCAUUUGUGGGCGAUAUGCGAGAUUGCCUGCAUGUUUUAUUGUAGAAAACUAGGAUACUACAAUCUCUUAUUAUUAUGAAUGUGUUCAAACAAUUAGUAUCGUUAAUAAACUGUAUUGUGUUCUAAGAUAUAAAUCUGGAUAAUCAUGCCCUGUUGUUGAUAGAGAUAAAGAAUUAUAGCUUUUGUAAUUUUCUUCAAUAUUUUGUUUGAAUGGAUUAUUUGAUGUGAUAAAUUGGAAUUAAUAUUUUGGUGAUAACUUUGUUACAGGAAACAGACUUACAAACUAUUGCUGGUAUUUGGAGUAUUGGAGGGAAAACCGCUGCUCAAUAAAACAGUUCUGAUAUUGAUGGGAAUUACGAAAUAUCAAUAGGCGAAUGCUGUUCCAGCACCAUAGAUAAAGAAUGAGAUAUUUUAGAAUUAUUUGAUCACCAAGGAUUUGUACUCCUACAGGGAGCUUUGCGAAGAUAACAAUUUGAAUAAAAAUCUGGAUAAAGAAUCCUGUGUUUUCUGCAUAACGUCUGAUCGUAGUCGAAAAUGUGUUACAAAUUCAUUAUUUCAAACGAAAGAAUAAGUUUAUUUUCAUGAUGAAGUGGCGAUUUGAUAACUCAUAAAAAUAUGAGUACAAAUUGCUCAAUUAUUGGUAAAGUAGUAAAGGGAUGUAAAUGGUUAUGGUCGACUAUUCAGAUAGGUCGCAUUUCGAAAGCAUGAACUAUGUGCACUAUAUCUGGAUCCUUCUAUCCAUUCUUGUGUCUGUCACAUGUUCGUUUUGUUUCCUUCAACCAGAGUGGAUAAUACAUCCAAAUGUUCGGAAAGCGUUUGGAAUAUAUGCUUUCUGUGUCGGUAGCGCAGGAUCUGCCCAGUUCUCACGAACUUGUGGAUUUUAUGGUGGCCGCUUUGGAUUUGGAAACAUUCCAUGUACGAUUUGGCAAGCAGCGUGUUUGCUGUAUGGAGGUGGAUCAUUGUUCACAUGUUUUGGAGCAUUAUGUUCCCUCACAACAAUGUGUGUACGGAAAAGCUGGAAUAAAACGUUGGUACUUUCCACAAGAUAUCUACAAAUAUCUUCAGUGUUCUUGAUGACCUCUGGGCUUCUUGUUUUUCCACUUGGAUUUGACUCCAACUACUUCCUGUUGUACUGCGGCGCAGGCUGAUGUUUUCAACUCGGGAAUAUGUCACGUUGGAUGGACAUACGUUCUAGCUAUAGUGGGAGCGGCAAUUUCUAUCUUUUGCCCGAUUCUGUCAUAUUUUAGUGCUGAAGAAACAUCUCAAAACGAAGACUUUGACUUUAAGAUAUAGUAACAUGAAAUUAUAUAUGCAUUUUAAGUUGUGUCUACGUAAACUUUUGUAAUUGCCACAUUUCAGAAAGACAAUUUUCAUAUCAAUCGUAUGAUAUUGACAAUGCUUCGUCUUUUCAAAGAAACGUGUUAGCAAUAAGGGUAAUUUGAACAAGAAGUAAUGGGUCGAUCCCAUUUGAUAGCCACCUAUUCGACUGAAGCGGUUUUCUCUUACCUGCUUAUAUUAGAAAACGUUUAAUAUGAUACCAUUGUUGACUUUUGAUGAUGCAGUUGUAAAACUAUCAAUUUAAUUUUUUUUGUAAUGUAUGUUAUUUUAUUUCAUUUAACAAUAGUAUUAUAUUUACCAGUUGAAUUUAUUGCCUUGCAAUUUUGCAUUUAUUACUACUGAAUGAAUUUAUUAAAUGCAAAUGAUUUAUUUAUGACUGUAGAUGUUACAUGUGCAUUGGCUAGUUUGAGACUUCU